GAGUGGCGAACGGGUGAGUAACACGUGGGUAACCUGCCCAUCAGAAGGGGAUAACACUUGGAAACAGGUGCUAAUACCGUAUAACAAUCGAAACCGCAUGGUUUUGAUUUGAAAGGCGCUUUCGGGUGUCGCUGAUGGAUGGACCCGCGGUGCAUUAGCUAGUUGGUGAGGUAACGGCUCACCAAGGCCACGAUGCAUAGCCGACCUGAGAGGGUGAUCGGCCACAUUGGGACUGAGACACGGCCCAAACUCCUACGGGAGGCAGCAGUAGGGAAUCUUCGGCAAUGGACGAAAGUCUGACCGAGCAACGCCGCGUGAGUGAAGAAGGUUUUCGGAUCGUAAAACUCUGUUGUUAGAGAAGAACAAGGAUGAGAGUAACUGUUCAUCCCUUGACGGUAUCUAACCAGAAAGCCACGGCUAACUACGUGCCAGCAGCCGCGGUAAUACGUAGGUGGCAAGCGUUGUCCGGAUUUAUUGGGCGUAAAGCGAGCGCAGGCGGUUUCUUAAGUCUGAUGUGAAAGCCCCCGGCUCAACCGGGGAGGGUCAUUGGAAACUGGGAGACUUGAGUGCAGAAGAGGAGAGUGGAAUUCCAUGUGUAGCGGUGAAAUGCGUAGAUAUAUGGAGGAACACCAGUGGCGAAGGCGGCUCUCUGGUCUGUAACUGACGCUGAGGCUCGAAAGCGUGGGGAGCAAACAGGAUUAGAUACCCUGGUAGUCCACGCCGUAAACGAUGAGUGCUAAGUGUUGGAGGGUUUCCGCCCUUCAGUGCUGCAGCUAACGCAUUAAGCACUCCGCCUGGGGAGUACGACCGCAAGGUUGAAACUCAAAGGAAUUGACGGGGGCCCGCACAAGCGGUGGAGCAUGUGGUUUAAUUCGAAGCAACGCGAAGAACCUUACCAGGUCUUGACAUCCUUUGACCACUCUAGAGAUAGAGCUUCCCCUUCGGGGGCAAAGUGACAGGUGGUGCAUGGUUGUCGUCAGCUCGUGUCGUGAGAUGUUGGGUUAAGUCCCGCAACGAGCGCAACCCUUAUUGUUAGUUGCCAUCAUUUAGUUGGGCACUCUAGCAAGACUGCCGGUGACAAACCGGAGGAAGGUGGGGAUGACGUCAAAUCAUCAUGCCCCUUAUGACCUGGGCUACACACGUGCUACAAUGGGAAGUACAACGAGUCGCGAAGUCGCGAGGCUAAGCUAAUCUCUUAAAGCUUCUCUCAGUUCGGAUUGUAGGCUGCAACUCGCCUACAUGAAGCCGGAAUCGCUAGUAAUCGCGGAUCAGCACGCCGCGGUGAAUACGUUCCCGGGCCUUGUACACACCGCCCGUCACACCACGAGAGUUUGUAACACCCGAAGUCGGUGAGGUAACCUUUUGGAGCCAGCCGCCUAAGGUGGGAUAGAUGA
rnacentral:rRNA from 1 species